CACAGUGAAACCCUUGCCCAUGGAAACUUCUUAAUAAAAGAAUAAAAAUAAAAUAGGCUUGGAGAUACAACUUACCAGAGGGAAACCAAUCAGUAGAGCUGCAUUUCCCGUGUGUGAAGUGACACAGUAGGAAGACGGGCAGAGAAAGAGCCCCUGUUCCAAGCUGGCCGUCAUUCAGCUGAGAAGACGGCUUUCCUGGAGGCUCCACGCACACCAUGCCGCCGCACCCUCUCCAGCUGAUCUGUGGCCAAGCUGCCUCACGGGCAAUACCGAGCAUGUUUUAUAUAAGGCUUUCAAAGCUGCUGCUGCUGCUGCUGCCACUCCUGCAGUGGCUAUAACCUGGCCUUCAAUGUCUCUGUCUAGACAGAUGCAUGAUUGAAUAAAGGAUUCAUCCAA